rnacentral:piRNA from 1 species
UAGUUAAGGCCACCAGAAACAUACCUUUGG